AACGAACGCUGGCGGCAUGCCUAACACAUGCAAGUCGAACGAGACCUUCGGGUCUAGUGGCGCACGGGUGCGUAACGCGUGGGAACCUGCCCUUAGGUUCGGGAUAACUCCCCGAAAGGGGUGCUAAUACCGGAUAAUGUCUUCGGACCAAAGAUUUGUCGCCUUUGGAUGGGCCCGCGUUGGAUUAGCUAGUUGGUAGGGUAAAAGCCUACCAAGGCGACGAUCCAUAGCUGGUCUGAGAGGAUGAUCAGCCACACUGGGACUGAGACACGGCCCAGACUCCUACGGGAGGCAGCAGUGGGGAAUAUUGGACAAUGGGCGAAAGCCUGAUCCAGCAAUGCCGCGUGAGUGAUGAAGGCCUUAGGGUUGUAAAGCUCUUUUACCCGGGAUGAUAAUGACAGUACCGGGAGAAUAAGCUCCGGCUAACUCCGUG
rnacentral:rRNA from 1 species